GGGCCUCUUGCCAUCGGAUGUGCCCAGAUGGGAUUAGCUAGUAGGUGGGGUAACGGCUCACCUAGGCGACGAUCCCUAGCUGGUCUGAGAGGAUGACCAGCCACACUGGAACUGAGACACGGUCCAGACUCCUACGGGAGGCAGCAGUGGGGAAUAUUGCACAAUGGGCGCAAGCCUGAUGCAGCCAUGCCGCGUGUAUGAAGAAGGCCUUCGGGUUGUAAAGUACUUUCAGCGGGGAGGAAGGGAGUAAAGUUAAUACCUUUGCUCAUUGACGUUACCCGCAGAAGAAGCACCGGCUAACUCCGUGCCAGCAGCCGCGGUAAUACGGAGGGUGCAAGCGUUAAUCGGAAUUACUGGGCGUAAAGCGCACGCAGGCGGUUUGUUAAGUCAGAUGUGAAAUCCCCGGGCUCAACCUGG
rnacentral:rRNA from 1 species